UACGUUCUCGGACCUUGUACACACCGCCCGUCACACCACGAAAGUUAUUUGUACCCAAAGUUAUUUUAGUCAACCCGUAAGGGAGGCGGAUAGUUAAGGUAUGGGUAAUGAUUGGGGUG
rnacentral:rRNA from 1 species